rnacentral:lncRNA from 1 species
CGUUUCAGCGAACCAGCAACGACAGUUUUUCCAAUGCGUCCACGAUGCCGGAACUCAAUCAGCGUAGGCACGAAACUCCGGUAAACAGAGAAGGUCCGGUCCUGUUUCGCUGUGCGACACGGCGACGAAAAAGAGUGGCAGCACACCGAGACGAUGACGAGGCUGUGGUGAUAACAGUCGAGGCUUGGUAGAUCCAGUAGAGCACAAAAAACUCACGGAGCGUAUAACGACGAACACAGGAGCAAAAUUGAGAGAAAACAAAGCCAGGCGGCCACUGCGAACUGAACAACAAUCAACUACGGAGUGAGUGGGAUCAGAGCAAAAUAGAACUUGGUAAAGGCGAUAAAAAACGGCAGCGUCAACACU